rnacentral:rRNA from 1 species
AUUGAACGCUGGCGGCAUGCCUUACACAUGCAAGUCGAACGGUAACAGGUCUUCGGAUGCUGACGAGUGGCGAACGGGUGAGUAAUGCAUCGGAACGUGCCCAGUAGUGGGGGGUGGCGCGGCGAAAGCCGGAUUAAUACCGCAUACGACCUGAGGGUGAAAGGGGGGGAUCGCAAGACCUCGCGCUGUUGGAGGGGCCGAUGUCAGAUUACCCAGUUGGUGGGGUAAAGGCCUACCAAGGCAACGAUCUGUAGUUGGUCUGAGAGGACGACCAGCCACACUGGGACUGAGACACGGCCCAGACUCCGACGGGAGGCAGCAGUGGGGAAUUUUGGACAAUGGGCGCAAGCCUGAUCCAGCAAGGCCGCGUGCAGGAAGAAGGCCUUCGGGUUGUAAACUGCUUUUGUCAGGGAAGAAAUCUUCUGGGUUAAUACCUCGGGAGGAUGACGGUACCUGAAGAAUAAGCACCGGCUAACUACGUGCCAGCAGCCGCCGUAAGAC